rnacentral:lncRNA from 1 species
CGGAGUCCCAGGCCGGAGGGAGUGGGUGCCCUGCCUGCAAAGGGUGUGACACAGGGCUCUUCGCUCUUCCUCAUCUCAGCUGUCCUGCAUGUGUGUCUCUGAAGGCCACACAAGUUGAUGGAUUCCACUGACAGAACCACGGAGACCGAGAGCUGGCCCUGCACAGUGACGUUUCCAGAUGUCCCUGAGGGCAAGGUGUACGAAGCCCACAGAUAUGGCCUGGAGGAGCAGUCAGAAGUCCGCCAGUGAGCUGAGGAUGGGUGGUACUGACAGAGAGGACUGAGGGCCUGUGUGAGGGGAGGACUCACAUGGACGUGAAGCAUGAUUUGCCAGCCAGAGGACACCACAGCCGCUGCCCCCUGGAAAGAGACCAGCAAUGUUCUGACUGGCUUCCCGGCUUUGAUCUCGUUAGUUCAGAGGCUCCUAACAGAAGCCCCAGAUGUUUUAUGAUCUGUUUAAUAUGCAAGGAAGAAAAGACCUGGAACUGA